AGAUCGAAUUAGGGGUGCCCAAAAAUUACGGGCUGAGAUCAUACCCAUAUUACCUGAUCCGGGUAGUGCCGGCGAAGGGAAAUGCGAUUUCCAUAUU
rnacentral:ncRNA from 2 species